rnacentral:rRNA from 1 species
AGCAGCCACCAUUUAAAGAGUGCGUAAUAGCUCACUGGUCGAGUGACUCUGCGCCGAAAAUGUAACGGGGCUAAACACACCACCGAAGCUAUGGCUUGAAUCGACUUCACUGCUUCUUUGAGGCGGUGACCGAGACAAUUUUGCCAAAAGCGACAAAGCGAGUAGUUCAAAGGUUUUGGCCAAAUGCCUCUCGGGGUUAAAGACAUCACUUCGAAGCUGGAGUGAAGUCGAUUCAGGGGUAGGGGAGCGUUGUAUGCGGAUUGAAGUUGGACCGGAAGGACUGGUGGACUGCAUACAAGUGAGAAUGCCGGUAUGAGUAACGAAAAGAUCA